AGUCGUAACAAGGUCUCCGUAGGUGAACCUGCGAGAGGGAUCAUUACACAAAUAUGAAGGCGGGCUGGAACCUCUCGGGGUUACAGCCUUGCUGAAUUAUUCACCCUUGUCUUUUGCGUACUUCUUGUUUCCUUGGUGGGUUCGCCCACCACUAGGACAAACAUAAACCUUUUGUAAUUGCAAUCAGCGUCAGUAACAAAUUAAUAAUUACAACUUUCAACAACGGAUCUCUUGGUUCUGGCAUCGAUGAAGAACGCAGCGAAAUGCGAUAAGUAGUGUGAAUUGCAGAAUUCAGUGAAUCAUCGAAUCUUUGAACGCACAUUGCGCCCUUUGGUAUUCCAAAGGGCAUGCCUGUUCGAGCGUCAUUUGUACCCUCAAGCUUUGCUUGGUGUUGGGCGUCUUGUCUCUAGCUUUGCUGGAGACUCGCCUUAAAGUAAUUGGCAGCCGGCCUACUGGUUUCGGAGCGCAGCACAAGUCGCACUCUCUAUCAGCAAAGGUCUAGCAUCCAUUAAGCCUUUUUUUUCAACUUUUGACCUCGGAUCAGGUAGGGAUACCCGCUGAACUUAAGCAUAUCAAUAGUAAAAGUCG
rnacentral:rRNA from 1 species